AUGGCUCAGAACGAACGCUGGUGGCGUGUCUUAUACAUGCAAGUCGAGCGAGGCAGCAAUGCCGAGCGGCGAACGGGUGAGUAACGCGUAAGCAAUCUGCCCCAUAUCAGGAAAUACCCGUGCCAACGCGCGGUUAAUGUCCAGGAGAGUGGCCCUCUGCAUGGAGGGUUGACUAGAGAUUUAUCGGUAUGGGAUGAGCUUGCGUCCGAUUAGCUAGUUGGCGGGGCAACGGCCACCAAGGCGACGAUCGGUAGCCGGCCUGAGAGGGUGAUCGGCCACAUUGGGACUGAGAUACGGCCCAGACUCCUACGGGAGGCAGCAGUAGGGAAUAUUGCACAAUGGGGGAAACCCUGAUGCAGCAACGCCACGUGUGGGAAGAAGCAUUUCGGUGUGUAAACCACUGUCAUGAGGGAAUAAGGCCCGCCUUCGGACGGGAUUGAAUGUACCUUGAGAGGAAGCACCGGCAAACUUCGUGCCAGCCGCCGC
rnacentral:rRNA from 1 species